rnacentral:rRNA from 1 species
CCUACGGGAGGCAGCAGUGAGGAAUAUUGGUCAAUGGGCGAGAGCCUGAACCAGCCAAGUCGCGUGAAGGAUGAAGGAUCUAUGGUUUGUAAGCUUCUUUUAUAUGGGAAUAAAGUGAGGAACGUGUUCCUUUUUGUAUGUACCAUAUGAAUAAGAAUCAGCUAACUCCGUGCCAGCAGCCGCGGUAAUACGGAGGAUGCGAGAGUUAUCCGGGUUUAUUGGGUUUAAAGGGUGCGUAGGUGGUUAAUUAAGUCAGCGGUGAAAGUUUGUGGCUCAACCAUAAAAUUGCCGUUGAAACUGGUUGUCUUGAGUAUAUUUGAGGUAGGCGGAAUGCGUGGUGUAGCGGUGAAAUGCAUAGAUAUCACGCAGAACUCCGAUUGCGAAGGCAGCAUACCGGCGCUCACCUGACGCUCAUGCACGAAAGUGUGGGUAUCGAACAGGAUUAGAUACCCGUGUAGUC